rfam:Scytonema millei VB511283 scaffold_96, whole genome shotgun sequence.
GUCAACAACCCCUGGCUCUUGCCUCGGGGCUUCAGGACUAGAAUUUCUCGUCUUUGAUGCCCUUAGUUGACCAGACUAAGUACUUUGAGUACUCCCUUCAUUAGGUCACGACACCCAAGAAUGCGUAGCUAGUUCUUGGCUCUGUCGCUCAACAUUAAACAUCUGUAAUGGGUUAAGGAAGUGUGUUGAGCCUAACAAGCCUAAAGAAGAUUGUCGAAGCUAACAUUAC